rnacentral:lncRNA from 1 species
UCAACAAGGGUAUAUAUAAGGUUGUAAUUGAAGGUCAAGUGGAGCUAAUCACAGGUACGUGAAAUAUCAAGGUUUCUUCUUAUCGCUUAUUUGGUGAUUCCAUCAUGGUUUAUAGUAAAGAGAAAGUUUAUGGUCUAGUUUCUCUCAAGAACGUAUUCAUAAGACAUGCCUAAACUUUAGGUCAAUGAAUCAAUGUUGAUAAAUAAAAAAUUAACUCUAGUGCCAUUUUAAAUUCCAGACUUAACCAUAUUACUGAGUUGAUUUGUUU